rnacentral:rRNA from 1 species
AAACCAGCACCUCAAGUGGUCAGGAUGAUUAUUGGGCCUAAAGCAUCCGUAGCCGGCUCUGUAAGUUUUCGGUUAAAUCUGUACGCUCAACGUACAGGCUGCCGGGAAUACUGCAGAGCUAGGGAGUGGGAGAGGUAGACGGUACUCGGGAGGAAGUGGUAAAAUGCUUUGAUCUUUCGAUGACCACCUGUGGCGAAGGCGGUCUACCAGAACACGUCCGACGGUGAGGGAUGAAAGCUGGGGGAGCAAACCGGAUUAGAAACCCCAGUAGUCC